rnacentral:tRNA from 1 species
UGGCUCAGUGGAUAGAGCAUCAGCUCAUGUACUGAAGGGUCAUGGGUUCGAUUCCCAU